rnacentral:rRNA from 1 species
CGGACGGGUGAGUAACACGUGGAUAACCUACCUAUAAGACUGGGAUAACUUCGGGAAACCGGAGCUAAUACCGGAUAAUAUAUUGAACCGCAUGGUUCAAUAGUGAAAGACGGUUUUGCUGUCACUUAUAGAUGGAUCCGCGCCGCAUUAGCUAGUUGGUAAGGUAACGGCUUACCAAGGCAACGAUGCGUAGCCGACCUGAGAGGGUGAUCGGCCACACUGGGACUGAGACACGGUCCAG